AGCCUGUUGCAAAAAUAGUAGGUUAUUCCUGCCCAUUGCAGUGUCUGUAAAAGGCCGCAGUACUUUGACUGUGCUAAGGUAGCGAAAUCAGUAGACUUUUAAAUGGAGCCCAGAAUGAAUGGAAAAACGGAAAUUUACUGUUUCUUUUUAUAAUUAAUAACUUUAUUAAAAGGUGAAAAUGCCUCUCAGAUAGAUGAAAGACGAGAAGACCCUGGGACCUUCAGGUAUUCCUUUUGUUGGGGCAACAGCAAAGAAGUCCUUUGCAUAUUGAAGUCUCGUCAAUUCAAGUUAGAAUAAGGUACCCCAGGGAUAACAGCAUAAUUAAGUUUUAGUUUAUGACCUCGAUGUUGGACUAGGAUUUCUACGGUUAGACGCCUCAAGAACACGUUCUGUUCGAACCUCUUCUCCU
rnacentral:rRNA from 1 species